rnacentral:rRNA from 1 species
GAUGAACGCUGGCGGCGUGCCUAAUACAUGCAAGUCGAGCGAAUGGAUUAAGAGCUUGCUCUUAUGAAGUUAGCGGCGGACGGGUGAGUAACACGUGGGUAACCUGCCCAUAAGACUGGGAUAACUCCGGGAAACCGGGGCUAAUACCGGAUAACAUUUUGAACCGCAUGGGUCGAAAUUGAAUGGCGGCUUCGGCUGUCACUUAUGGAUGGACCCGCGUCGCAUUAGCUAGUUGGUGAGGUAACGGCUCACCAAGGCAACGAUGCGUAGCCGACCUGAGAGGGUGAUCGGCCACACUGGGACUGAGACACGGCCCAGACUCCUACGGGAGGCAGAAGUAGGGAAUCUUCCGCAAUGGACGAAAGUCUGACGGAGCAACGCCGCGUGAGUGAUGAAGGCUUUCGGGUCGUAAAACUCUGUUGUUAGGGAAGAACAAGUGCUAGUUGAAUAAGCUGGCACCUUGACGGUACCUAACCAGAAAGCCACGGCUAACUACGUGCCAGCCGCCGCAGUAA